rnacentral:rRNA from 1 species
GAUGAACGCUGGCGGCGUGCCUAAUACAUGCAAGUCGAGCGAACGGACGAGAAGCUUGCUUCUCUGAUGUUAGCGGCGGACGGGUGAGUAACACGUGGAUAACCUACCUAUAAGACUGGGAUAACUUCGGGAAACCGGAGCUAAUACCGGAUGAUAUUUUGAACCGCAUGGUUCAAAAGUGAAAGACGGUCUUGCUGUCACUUAUAGAUGGAUCCGCGCUGCAUUAGCUAGUUGGUAAGGUAACGGCUUACCAAGGCAACGAUGCAUAGCCGACCUGAGAGGGUUAUCGGCCACACUGGAACUGCGACACGGUCCAGACUCCUACGGGAGGCAGCAGUAGGGAAUCUUCCGCAAUGGGCGAAAGCCUGACGGAGCAACGCCGCGUGAGUGAUGAAGGUCUUCGGAUCGUAAAACUCUGUUAUUAGGGAAGAACAUAUGUGUAAGUAACUGUGCACAUCUUGACGGUACCUAAUCAGAAAGCCACGGCUAACUACGUG